rnacentral:rRNA from 1 species
CAGCCGCCGCGGUAAUACGUAGGUGGCAAGCGUUGUCCGGAAUUAUUGGGCGUAAAGGGCUCGCAGGCGGUUUCUCAAGUCUGAUGUGAAAGCCCCCGGCUCAACCGGGGAGGGUCAUUGGAAACUGGGAAACUUGAGUGCAGAAGAGGAGAGUGGAAUUCCACGUGUAGCGGUGAAAUGCGUAGAGAUGUGGAGGAACACCAGUGGCGAAGGCGACUCUCUGGUCUGUAACUGACGCUGAGGAGCGAAAGCGUGGGGAGCGAACAGGAUUAGAUACCCCAGUAGUCCCUGUCUCUUAUAC